UUCAAUCCAAUGUUCCACUAAAUUAGAACUUUUAUUCAAACAUUUAUAUUUUCACAAAUAUUUCAGUUUAAUAAAAUUCAUAUAAAAUAACAUACCAUAGCAUUCAUGAAAUUUCAAAGUAUAAUACAACAUUUCCUGCCAACCACAAUCUCAAACAAUGAAUUUACUCAAUUGAGCUGAAUAUCAAAUAUCAACUUAUAUUCCAACAUUUAGCUUCAAUUGCACUUACAAAUACUUGUCAAAUUAAGGAUCGUCUUGCGGAUUUGAGUACAUCGUUUGCCCGGGUGCCACGAUUUGCUUGAAUAUUUUACAAUGCUAUAACUCAAUAUGGUUUCCUUCACUGAAAUACCAUACCUACUUUUCACAACUCAGUAUGAUUUUCUUCACUGAAACACCAUACCUACAUUUCACAAUUUUCCAUGGAUUCACCAUGGGCUUAUUCGUUAAUUCAUCAUUGAUUACAGAACGUAUGUACUCAAUCCUGCGUAUCCCUUAAUUUAAACUAACAAUAUCAUUUUUUUUCUCAUUUUUACCAUAAUCAUAAUUCGAAAACAAUAUACAAAUUGAUACAAUAUAUCAUUCCCACAUUAACAAUUAAUCAUAAAAAUUCAGCCGUAUGAACUUACCUGGGCCAAUUUGUAGGAUUUGUAAAAGUUCAAAUACUAUUUUGAUACUUUCUCUUUUCUGCAUUUAUCUUCAGAUUCCCGAUCUAUAAUAUAAAAUUUUCCAUUCAUUAUCAUCUAACUCAAUACUAAUUCACUUCACAGUUUAUGCCCUUCAAUUUUUGAAAUUACACUUUUACCCCAAAACUUACAGUUUUUACAAUCUAGUCCCUACUCAAUUAACACUUGAAUUGAACUAAUUUUUUUCCUCAAAUAACACUUUAUCUAAUAAUUUUAGGCUAUUAUACAACCUUUUAUAUUCAUAAUUUCAUUACAAAACCCCAAUUCCUAGCUUUUUCACAAUUAAGUCCUAAAAAUCAUUUUCUACUAAAAUCACUUAAUAAAAUCAUAAUAUAAUAAAAUUAAAGCUUCAAAUCUAUGAUAAUUCAUCAUAAAUUAAAAUUCCAGUACUCACACAUGGUAACUUUCAAAAUCAUUCAUAGAAUCAAAAACAAAUCAAUUCAAUAGUUGGACUUAAUUGUAAAAGUCACAAACCAUGAAAAAUUACAAAGAAAAAGCAAGAAUUGAACUUACAUGAUGAAAAAUAUGAAAAACCAGCUUUAAAACUCUCUCCUAUGGCAUUUUGGCUGAAGAAAAAUGAUGAUAUCUCUAGAUUUUUCAAUAUUGUCUUUAUUUUAUAUGUUUAAUUUGCAAAAUUUCCAAUUUUUCCCUUAUUUCUCCUUGUUUUCUUGCUGAUUUUCUUGCCCAAACCGUCCAGCCCAUAUACUUUAGGCCUAAUUUCCUUUUAAAUCCCUCCUUAUUAGUCACUUAAACUAUUUAAUCACAAUUUAACAAAUUUUGCACUAUUUUCAAUUUAAUCCUUUUUAAUUAAUUGACUAUCCAAACGUUAAAAUUUUCUAACGAAACUUUUAUACUAACUCAAUGACACUCCAUAAAUGUUUAUAAAAAUAUUUAUGGCUCGACUUAUGAAUUCGAGGUCUCGAUACCUCGUUUUAGACCCAAUUUACCAACUAAAUUCUUUUUAAAUCACAAAAUCCACUAAAUCACAAAAUUCGCCUAAAUUCAAACUUGACCCAAAAUUAUUAAUUUAUUAAAAUUUCAAGCUUACUUGUCGGAUUUAGUGAUCCCAAAUCACUAAUUUCGAUACCAUUAAAAAUUGGGCUGUUACACAGGCCGUGUGUCCCCUGCAACUUAAAAUUUUAAAACGGAAUGCUCAGAAAUUUUCACACGGCCUGGCACACAAGCGUGUGGCUUGGCCGUUUUACUCUUGCACCUAAAUGAAUUGCAAGUUAGAGAGUUACUCUGGCUGGGGACACGGCUGUGUGCUCUAUUUCAAACGCCACACGGCCUGAGACACGGGUGUGUCACUGGGCCGUGUGAGCCACACGGCUUGACCACACAGGCGUGUGCCCCAUGCACAUUGGAAAAUUUUGAAAUUUCAUGAAAAAUUCUCUGAGUUUCCGAUUUAGUCCCAAUUCGAUUCUAAAGUGAAAAUUGAGCCUCGAGGGCUCUCAUAAGGGACUUUAUGAAUAGUAUCUGGCAUGAAUGUUAAAUAAUAAUAUGAAAUGUCUGUAUUUAAUGUGGCAUGUAUAGCUAGGCUCACAUAUGCUACGUUUGGUCCGAGAACCGACUAAACCGUAGCUCUGAUACCACUAAAUGUAACACCCCUUACCCGUAUCCAACACCGGAAUAGGGUACGAGGCAUUACCAAAACACAUACACUUGUAAACGUAUUUAACCGAGUUAUAAAAUUUCAUCAAAAUUAAAACUUUCAAAAAUAAUUAACAUGUUUCUAUAACUUUUCACAAUAUAUGCUUAAAAUAUUAUAAUCAUAAUAAUUAGGGCCUGCGAGACCCGAUACAUACUCAUGCAAUUUAAUGCUUCAUUUCCAUUUCAUUCAAUUCGCAAUUUCUCAUGCUCAUAAUUUAAAUCAUAUCACUAGAAAUUUCCAUUUAAUUCACGUACAAUUCAAUGACAUCAAAUUCAAAACUAAUACGUAUUUACCAUUUAACUCAAUGUUUAUUGAUUAUACCAUUCAAUAACACAUUUAUGAAAUUCUCAAUUUAGCAAUGAAAAUAUCACUUUAGUUUGAAUAACAACAUCGUCCUGAUAUAAAUACACUACCACUUAUCCAUUUACUUUAAUUCUUUUGGGCCCAUUUGUCACUUACCAUCUUUAAUCAAAUUAGGGAACGGUCACGGAAAAUUGAGUACUUCACUUUCACUUUGCCAUAGUAUAACUAUGGUCUUACGUAUGAUCACUUAUCACUUGUCCCUGAUCAGAUAAGUGUAGCCACCUAUCACUUUGUUUCUUGAUCAGAUAAGUGUAGCCACUUAUCACUUUGUUUCUUGAUCAGAUAAGUGUAGCUAAAGCUAUCACUUAUCACUUUGUCUCUUGAUCAGAUAAGUAUAGCCGAAGCUAUCACUUAUCACUUUUCACUUGUCACUUGAUCAGAUAAGUGUAGCCGAAGCUAUCACUUAUCACUUUCCACUUGUCACUUGAUCAGAUAAGUGUAGCUGAAUCUAUCACUUAUCACUUUGUCACUUGAUCAGAUAAGUAUAGCCGAAGCUAUCACUUAUCACUUUAUCACUUGAUCAGAUAAGUAUAGCCGAAGCUAUUACUUAUCACUUUCCACUUGUCACUUGAUCAGAUAAGUGUAGCUAAAGCUACCACUUAUCACUUUAUCACUUGAUCAGAAGUACUCAAAUCCGGCGUUCCGCUCAAUUUGAUCAUUUAUUCAUAUAUCAGGCUUACCAACAUGUGUUAAUUCAUAAACCAUUCAUGGUAUUAUUUCAUGCCAAAUCAUAUACUGAAUAUACCAUACACACAUACUAUGAAACUUUAUUUUCACACAUGAGCUUAAACCAUGACCAAUAAUGCACAAAAAUAAGCAUCAUUCAUAUUUCAUCGUUUAUGAGUUAUAAUCAAACAUAUGACCAUUUAUACACGAAUCAUUCAUAUAUUUCCCAAUUUUCCUCCUCCUCCUCUCCAUUCCACAUCCUUAAUGUGUAUAACACACUUAAACAACAUUAACCAUAAUUUCAAUAUUCACUAACAUGUAUAUUCAAAGCUGUUUAUCCGAGUAAGAGUCACUAAAUUAUUUUUAUCCGGAGCUACAGAGCUCCAAAUUAAGAUCCGUUAAUUUUCCCUGAAACUAGACUCACAUAUCUUCAUACCAUAAAAUUUUCAUAAUUUUUGGUUCAGCCAAAUAGUACAGUUUAUUCUUUAAAGUUUCCCCUGUUUCGCUGUCUGACAGUUCCGACCACUCUUCACUAAAAAUUAAUUAUCUCAUUGUACAGAAUUCGGAUGAUGUUUUAGCUUGUUUCUUCUAAAAAUAGACUCAUUAAGGAUUCUAACCAUAUAAACUAUAACUCAUAAUAAUUUCUGUACAAUUUUUAAUGAUUUUCCAAAGUCAGAACAGGGGAACCCGAAUUUAUUCUGACCUUGUCUCACAAAAUCUAUUAUAUCUCAUGAUUUACAAUUCCAUUGCUCACAUCAUUUCUUUUAUAAGAAACUAGACUCAAUAAGCUUUAAUUUCAUAUUUUAUUCAUCCUCUAAUUAAAUCUCUACAAUUUUUGGUGAUUUUUCAAAGUUACACUACUGCUGCUGUCCAAAACUGCUUUAGUGCAAAAUGUUGAUUUCCAUUUUGCCCCAAAUUUCACAGUUUAUACAAUUCGGUCCUUUCUCAAUUAACCCCUAAAUUAAUCUAAUUUUCUCAAUUAGUACUUUACUAGACAUUAUAAGUUGUUACACAACUAUUGAAAUUCAGAAUUUCCACAUAUAACUCUAUCUUCAAACUCUUUUACUAUUAGGUCCCAAACAUUCACUUUCUAUUCAAUUCUUUCAAUAAAAUCAGCAUAUGAACAAUUUAAAGCUCUAAUUUCAUGCAAAAUCAUCAUAUACUUCCAGCACAUAUUCAUAUCAACUUUCAACUUCUUUCAUAAAAUCAAAAACUAAUGAAUUUAACAAGUGGGCCUAGUUGUAAAAGUCAUAAAAAUACAAAAAUUUCAAGAAAUAGUCAAGAAUUGAACUUACUUGUAAUAAAAAUAUGAAGAACCAGCUUGAAGAAGCCCUUCCAU
rnacentral:lncRNA from 1 species